rnacentral:rRNA from 1 species
GACGAAUGCUGGCGGCGUGCUUAACACAUGCAAGUCGAACGAUGAAGCCUAGCUUGCUAGGUGGAUUAGUGGCGAACGGGUGAGUAAUACGUGAGUAACCUACCUUUAACUCUGGGAUAAGCCUGGGAAACUGGGUCUAAUACCGGAUACGACCAAUCUCCGCAUGGGGUGUUGGUGGAAAGCGUUAUGUAGUGGUUAUAGAUGGGCUCACGGCCUAUCAGCUUGUUGGUGAGGUAACGGCUCACCAAGGCGACGACGGGUAGCCGGCCUGAGAGGGUGACCGGCCACACUGGGACUGAGACACGGCCCAGACUCCUACGGGAGGCAGCAGUGGGGAAUAUUGCACAAUGGGCGCAAGCCUGAUGCAGCGACGCCGCGUGAGGGAUGACGGCCUUCGGGUUGUAAACCUCUGUUAGCAGGGAAGAAGAGAGAUUGACGGUACCUGCAGAGAAAGCGCCGGCUAACUACGUGCCAGCAGCCGCGGUAAUACGUAGGGCGCGAGCGUUGUCCGGAAUUAUUGGGCGUAAAGAGCUUGUAGGCGGUUUGUCGCGUCUGCUGUGAAGGCCGGGGCUUAACUCCGUGUAUUGCAGUGGGUACGGGCAGACUAGAGUGCAGUAGGGGAGACUGGAAUUCCUGGUGUAGCGGUGGAAUGCGCAGAUAUCAGGAGGAACACCGAUGGCGAAGGCAGGUCUCUGGGCUGUAACUGACGCUGAGAAGCGAAAGCAUGGGGAGCGAACAGGAUUAGAUACCCUGGUAGUCCAUGCCGUAAACGUUGGGCACUAGGUGUGGGGGACAUUCCACGUUUUCCGCGCCGUAGCUAACGCAUUAAGUGCCCCGCCUGGGGAGUACGGCCGCAAGGCUAAAACUCAAAGAAAUUGACGGGGGCCCGCACAAGCGGCGGAGCAUGCGGAUUAAUUCGAUGCAACGCGAAGAACCUUACCAAGGCUUGACAUAUACUGGACCGCAUCAGAGAUGGUGUUUCCCUUCGGGGCUGGUAUACAGGUGGUGCAUGGUUGUCGUCAGCUCGUGUCGUGAGAUGUUGGGUUAAGUCCCGCAACGAGCGCAACCCUCGUUCUAUGUUGCCAGCACGUUAUGGUGGGGACUCAUAGGAGACUGCCGGGGUCAACUCGGAGGAAGGUGGGGAUGACGUCAAAUCAUCAUGCCCCUUAUGUCUUGGGCUUCACGCAUGCUACAAUGGCCGGUACAGAGGGUCGCGAUACUGUGAGGUGGAGCUAAUCCCUAAAAGCCGGUCUCAGUUCGGAUUGGGGUCUGCAACUCGACCCCAUGAAGUCGGAGUCGCUAGUAAUCGCAGAUCAGCAACGCUGCGGUGAAUACGUUCCCGGGCCU